CUACACAUGCAGUCGAGCGGUAGCACAGAGAGCUUGCUCUCGGGUGACGAGCGGCGGACGGGUGAGUAAUGUCUGGGAAACUGCCUGAUGGAGGGGGAUAACUACUGGAAACGGUAGCUAAUACCGCAUAACGUCGCAAGACCAAAGUGGGGGACCUUCGGGCCUCAUGCCAUCAGAUGUGCCCAGAUGGGAUUAGCUGGUAGGUGGGGUAACGGCUCACCUAGGCGACGAUCCCUAGCUGGUCUGAGAGGAUGACCAGCCACACUGGAACUGAGACACGGUCCAGACUCCUACGGGAGGCAGCAGUGGGGAAUAUUGCACAAUGGGCGCAAGCCUGAUGCAGCCAUGCCGCGUGUGUGAAGAAGGCCUUCGGGUUGUAAAGCACUUUCAGCGGGGAGGAAGGCGGUGAGGUUAAUAACCUCACCGAUUGACGUUACCCGCAGAAGAAGCACCGGCUAACUCCGUGCCAGCAGCCGCGGUAAUACGGAGGGUGCAAGCGUUAAUCGGAAUUACUGGGCGUAAAGCGCACGCAGGCGGUCUGUCAAGUCGGAUGUGAAAUCCCCGGGCUCAACCUGGGAACUGCAUUCGAAACUGGCAGGCUAGAGUCUUGUAGAGGGGGGUAGAAUUCCAGGUGUAGCGGUGAAAUGCGUAGAGAUCUGGAGGAAUACCGGUGGCGAAGGCGGCCCCCUGGACAAAGACUGACGCUCAGUGCGAAAGCGUGGGGAGCAAACAGGAUUAGAUACCCUGGUAGUCCACGCUGUAAACGAUGUCGAUUUGGAGGUUGUGCCCUUGAGGCGUGGCUUCCGGAGCUAACGCGUUAAAUCGACCGCCUGGGGAGUACGGCCGCAAGGUUAAAACUCAAAUGAAUUGACGGGGGCCCGCACAAGCGGUGGAGCAUGUGGUUUAAUUCGAUGCAACGCGAAGAACCUUACCUGGUCUUGACAUCCACAGAACUUUCCAGAGAUGGAUUGGUGCCUUCGGGAACUGUGAGACAGGUGCUGCAUGGCUGUCGUCAGCUCGUGUUGUGAAAUGUUGGGUUAAGUCCCGCAACGAGCGCAACCCUUAUCCUUUGUUGCCAGCGGUCCGGCCGGGAACUCAAAGGAGACUGCCAGUGAUAAACUGGAGGAAGGUGGGGAUGACGUCAAGUCAUCAUGGCCCUUACGACCAGGGCUACACACGUGCUACAAUGGCAUAUACAAAGAGAAGCGACCUCGCGAGAGCAAGCGGACCUCAUAAAGUAUGUCGUAGUCCGGAUUGGAGUCUGCAACUCGACUCCAUGAAGUCGGAAUCGCUAGUAAUCGUAGAUCAGAAUGCUACGGUGAAUACGUUCCCGGGCCUUGUACACACCGCCCGUCACACCAUGGGAGUGGGUUGCAAAAGAAGUAGGUAGCUUAACCUUCGGGAGGGCGCUACUACUUUUGAAUAAGGUG
rnacentral:rRNA from 1 species